rnacentral:rRNA from 1 species
UACGAGGGGGGCAAAUGUUGUUCGGAAUCACUGGGCGUAAAGGGAGCGUAGGCGGGUGUUUAAGUUAGGUGUUUAAUCCCAGGGCCCAACCCUGGUCGUGCACUUAAAACUGGACAUCUUGAAUAGGGGAGAGGUCAGUGGAAUUGGGGGUGUAGCGGUGGAAUGCGUAGAGAUCCCCAAGAACACCAGUUGCGAAGGCGGCUGACUGGACCCAUAUUGACGCUGAGGCUCGAAAGCAUGGGGAGCAAACAGG